GAUGAACGCUGGCGGCGUGCCUAAUACAUGCAAGUCGAGCGAACAGACGAGGAGCUUGCUCCUCUGACGUUAGCGGCGGACGGGUGAGUAACACGUGGAUAACCUACCUAUAAGACUGGGAUAACUUCGGGAAACCGGAGCUAAUACCGGAUAAUAUAAUGAACCGCAUGGUUCAAUAAUAAAAUACGAUUUUGCUAUCACUUGUAGAUGGAUCCGCGCCGCAUUAGCUAGUUGGUAAGGUAACGGCUUACCAAGGCAACGAUGCGUAGCCGACCUGAGAGGGUGAUGGGCCACACUGGAACUGAGCCACGCGCCAGACUCCUACGGGAGGCACAAGUAGGGAAUCUUCCGCAAUGGGCGAAAUCUUGACGGAGCAACGCCGGGUGAGUGAUGAAGGUCUUCGGAUCGUAAAACUCUGUUAUUAGGGAAGAACAAAUUUGUAAGUAAAUAUGCACGUCUUGACGGUACCUAAUCAGAAAGCCACGGCUAACUACGUG
rnacentral:rRNA from 1 species